rnacentral:lncRNA from 1 species
GCUGUACCCAAGGCAUAUGGAGGUUCUCAGGCUAGGAGUCGAAUCGGAGCUGUAGCUACACCACAGCCACAGCCACAGCCACAGAAAUGCAGGAUCUUAGUCAUGUCUGUGACCCACCCCACAGCUCACAGCAAUGCCGGAUCCUUAACCCACUUAGCGAGGCCAGGGAUCAAACCUGCUUCCCUCAUGGAUACUAGUUCAGUUUGUUACCAAUGAACCACAAUGGGAACUCCUGAACCUUCUUAUACAUGCCUUUAGUGAACACAUACUUGCAUUUCAGUUGGUUUUCUACACCAAGGGGUAAAAUUGCAGGGUUGUGGGAUAUGUGUGCCAAUGUUCAACUUUAGCAGAUAUCACCAAGCAGUCUUCCAAGCCUUGGCCCUUUCCAAGGAGAGCACAACUAAGGAUGGAAGUGCGGAUUUAGAAGACAUUCUGGAAAUCCGGUGAGCACAUUCCCUGAUUCAUGGCUGGCCGUCACCCCCAUUGACUCCCAUGGGCACAAACACUUAAUAUAGGAGACACAUCCCCUCCCUCCCAUACCCCUUUCACUAAUCUUAACUUGCUGAAAGCAGCCAUGGGAUGACCACAGGGUAGGGACCCUGACUUUCAAUUUACAAUCUUCCCAAACUCCUGGCUCCAAGCUGGCCAAACAUGGCAACAAUUUGCAAAACACUUUCUAAGUGGGUGUUGGGCUCUGUCAUCUACUAGCAAGACAUUUAGUUUCUCUUCAACUUUCUUUACCUGUAAAUUGGCAACUGUCAAUAUAAAGGCAGUUCCUCUCUCCUGGCUGCUGGCAACCCUUGGCAUUUCUCAGCUUGCAGCUACUUAACUCCAGUCUCUGCCUAUGUCAGCAGAUGGACUUCUUCCCUGUGCGUCUCUACGUGUCCACCUUAAUCCAAGAUGGCUUCAUCUUAAUCUAACCAGUCAUAGCUGCAGAGACCCAAUUUCCAUAUAAGAUCCUAUUCUGAGCUCUCGGGGGACAUACAUUUUGGGAAGACACUCUUCAACCCCAAACAGGUACAUUUAAUAAAUAGAAACUAUUAACAUCUAUUAUUUUAUCAUUUCACCUACAGAUGGAUGAAUGGAUGGUUGGAUGGAUGGGUGGGUGGAUGAAUGGACCUCUCAUUCAAUAAGAAAUAGUACUGAAUGUCUACUAUGUGCCAGGCACAAUUAUAGAUGCUGGCCAUAUGGCCCCUGCCUCAUGAAGGUUACAUGCUAAGCCAGUGGGAGGGAGAGAAACAAAUCUAUAAAUAAUCAGAUCAGAUAGUGAAGAAAAGGAACAGUGUAUCUAAAAAUUCUGGCUUUGUUUUCUCCAUUGUAUCUUCUACACGACCUUCUGCUCCAGUGGCUAUUGUCAUCUCAGCCCUUUGUUGUGUUCUUUGCAAAGGAGCACAUGAAUGUUCCUGUCUAAAAAAGAGAGAACCCAUUCCGGAAAGCAUUUUCCAUUGCAGUGGACAAAUUAAUCAUGAUUAUUCCAUGAAUUGGAGACUUGUAUAACGGAGGAAAUUGUUCCAAAUGAAAGAAUAGCUCACAGGGUAGGAGGUAAAUCGGAUUCCACAAGUGAUAAUAAGAAAGAGCAAAAGGAGGGCAGUUAGGGCUCAGGCUGCAUGAAUCAUUUACUAUAAAUCCAGAUGUUUGCAAAAUGAAAAACAGGCCAAGUCCAUGACCUCCUGAACUGAUGUAAGGACUGGUUAAAAUAUGAUGGGAGAAUAAAUAACAUGGAUUUUUUUUUUAAGUCAUGAAAAGGCCAUUUACCUAUCUAUCACCUGAAACAUGCAAGAGAUAAAAAAAUAAUUGAAAUUUGUAUUUUGAACCACCAUCAAACCAUUCAAAUUUUUUAGUAACCAAAGUUUCAAUUAUUAUAAAUCAGUAGCACAGCAUGAGUGGCUUGUUAUAUCACUGUGGAAAGAAAAACACUUUGUUAAGCUCGUUUCCAAGGAAAUGAAACGCUUUUCAGACAAGUCAUUAAUGCUCAUAAAACCCCCCGGAGCAAAGUAGAGGGCAGAUGUUCUUUUUCAGGAUGGUCACAGACCAUCAAUGGAAGGAAAUCUCAUUUAAUUGUUUGAUUAAUUAUUUGCUUAUUUAUACUUCAAGAAAUUGAUUUAAGAAAGGAGACAGAGGUGAUCUGUGUCAUUAAAAUACAUAUCAAACAACACAGAAGGAACCUACAGUUGAAAAAAAAUGAAGUGUGCAUGGAGAAUUAAGCUAUCACAAACAGAAGCAAAAUACCAAUGAAGCGGAAACUGUCUGCUCUGGUACAUUCAUGAAGCAAAGAAUCCUGAACCUCCAAGGCCUCUCCUGAGUCUGCACUAACCCAGAAUUCAUUUCCACACUGGCCCAAAAUACUGCCAGUGCGCCAAUAUUCUACCUGCUCUAACCGUCUCUUCUACACACCACACUUCCACACAUACUUCCAAAUCUCACAUUUCUCCGUAUCCUCCCAGAACUGUUCUGCUUCAUUACUGGAUGUUUAGACUAUGAUUACCCUCUUCCCAUCACUACCAUCUUCUGCAUUCCCCACCUACCCUGCCUUCCUAUCUAGUACUUCUACCUUCAUUCUUCAUAGUGUAUCCACCUGCCUCUAAUCUGCUUACCCUGCUUAUAGGCUUGCAAGGGUUUCCCUGACCUACCCAAGAAUCACUGACAUCACUUCAGAUGCAUAAAAGGCAGCAGCAAUCAGGUUUUCAUGGCUUUUUUUUACUUACAGUAGGUAGGACUAUGAAAGAGCCCUCAGGGCCGUGAAAGACAAUUCUGAAUUCUGCAGUGUGUUCAUUCACAGAAUCACUCGUUAGGUAUAUAUUUAUGGAGCCGUGUUGGGUAAGAAAUUACCUUGCCACAAUGGUAGCCUCCAAGUAUACUAAGAGAAAAGUUCCUCCAUGGGUCAUAGAACAGAAAGGCUCUCAGACUAUAUUAUGUUUUUGUUUUGUCUGGGAUUUCUUAUUUUAUUUUAUUUUUAUUAUAGUUGAUUUACAAUGUUCUGUCAAUUUUUUCUGCUGUACAGCAAAGUGACCAGUUAUACAUAUAUACAUUCUUUUUCUCACAUUAUCCUCCAUCCUGAUUGAUCACAAGUGAUUGGAUAUAGUUCCCUGUGCUAUACAGCAGGAUCCCAUUGCCCAUACAUUCUGUUUGAAUGACAUGGUUCAUUAAGAGAAUUUCAAGCACACAGCAAGUAGCAAGGGGGAAAGAUACGGUGUAAGUUAUCACACUUAGGCGAGUGUACAAGCAGGUGGAAGAAACCACAGAACUGGAGUUUGGGGUUCUGCCUUCCCCAUGGAUGUUAUUGUUGUGAGUGGAGAGUUGGGGAGAGACAAAAGGAACUGACAGCUGAAGAUGCCAGGGGCGAAAGGCACAUACUUGCUUAUCAGAGCAGUUCCACCUGGCCAUAGCUGUAGUUUGGCAAUUAGUCUGUUGAGCUACCAUGGCUUAUACUGCACUUCUUGUGCAGAGGAUCAAAUGGGGUGUCUCAGGAGAUAUCCAAAUUAAGCCUUCACAAAUUUUCAGCACCUUGUGUGUAUUUAGUGUAUUACGUAUUUAGUAACUACUUGGUCCUUCCACCUCUGUCUACGUUCAUAUACAUAUGCUCUAAUUAAUUUGUUGAACAGGGUACUGACCCUCCACACUCAACACAUAUUAAUGAGUUUCAUCCUUUCCAUUUGCUUUUUUCUAUAGCAAAGCUUAAUAUUCUCAAACAACAUAGCAAAAUACCUAUUAGGAACAUAGCUACAUUGUCUAGGAGCAGGAAGAAAAUGCACAGAGCAGGUAGUAAAGGCAGACAGUGAGCACUUGGAGACAUGCACAGAAAAGAUACCCUGGAGGGUCGCUAUGUGAAAGAAGACUUCAAAGUUGGGUGGGACCUGCCCUGGGAAAGCAGAGGCCUUGGACCCUCCAGACAGAAGAGGAAUGACUGAGCAAAGGCACUGAAGAAGGACAUGGUCUGAUGCCCACAGGAAACUGGAGCAUUAUGUUCAGAGCACAGAAUGGAUAUGUGUAAGGUGGCGCUGGAGAGGAGAAGGGCAGGCAGGCAGGUGGAAGCUCUAGAUCAAACUGGAUUCCCCAGAGGGCUGCAUGUGGAGGUGGGGUCCCACCCAAUGCUGAAUGGUGGAGGCUCUGGGAAAGACAGCCUGCCUGGUCUCCAUGAAAAAUCUAACAGCGCACAGGUUGGGGAGUAGGAGGCCAGUGGCACUGCUCAGCAGAGACCCACUCCUCCUCUGCCCCUCUGUUGCCACCCAGCCCUGUGUACUUUGUUUGUCAGAACUGUAGCAAAGUAAACGAAGUGGGUUUCACCUCUUUCCCUUCUGGCAGCUGAUGGAUGAUCUCACCCUGCGGUGCGCAGUGUUCAACACUAUGUCAUUCCACAUUACGAUUCCUGUUUGGUUUCUUGGGGAACAGGAGGCAGACUUGGAGCUCAGUUUUGAUUUCACAAAGGGGCCCCUUUGCUCCACUCAUGACAGAUAAACAACCCCCCCCUCUUCUGGGCCCCUUUUCAACCAGAGCUGAUUAGGUUUUAUUUAUAUUUGUGAUAAAAGGUAAACAUACUCCAAUUUCUUUAAAUGUCUGCUGAUAGACUCACAAGAAACUAGUCUAACUCUUAAUCCCUAACUUAUAACCUGGGAGCAGAGGGGAAGCUGUAGGAAAGAAAGAAAACAAAUGUCCAUGAACCUUCCUAGUUCUUGAAAUUACAAUGCUGGUCCCUUCUCUUAUUCAUUCACUCAACAAACAUUCUGUGAGCUCUUAAUGUGCAAGCCACACAUGUGUUUCACACAGUGAUUCACCAUCAGGCCAGGUAGUGUUCAUAUGACACAGUUUAAUUAAAUCAGAGAUGGAUUCUUUUUUUUCCCCCCUAAAUCCAGAAAGCUUAAGCCUCCAGGCCCCUCCCAUGAAUAGGUACUUUCCAAGACCCUGGGAGGGGACUUAGCAAAGAGUUUACAUAAUUCUGUGUUUUAUGAAAUGUGCAGAUGUAUAAUAUUUUAACUGCAACUGGCUUAAGCCCCAUUAAAUAUUUCCAUUUUGGCUUUCCUUCAGCCACACUUCCCCUCAAGUUGGGUGGCUUUGGAGUGGCUACAGGCAUUUUGGGGAUAUGGCUAAGAAGUUAAAUUGCGGGUCCCUUUGUGUUUAGCACGAUACAUGUGUGUGGAUCAUGGCCAUUUACCAUGGAUGGUUAAAAUCAUUACUCACCAUCCCAGGACAGGACCUGAUCCUAGGAACGGCCUUUUACCCAUUGUGCCGACUCAUCAAAACAACAGUAUAGAACCAAAGGUCGCAUCAUAAUCUGAAGUACCCAAGGAUGA